GACGAACGCUGGCGGCGUGCUUAACACAUGCAAGUCGAACGGAAAGGCCCUGCUUUUGUGGGGUGCUCGAGUGGCGAACGGGUGAGUAACACGUGAGUAACCUGCCCUUGACUUUGGGAUAACUUCAGGAAACUGGGGCUAAUACCGGAUAGGAGCUCCUGCUGCAUGGUGGGGGUUGGAAAGUUUCGGCGGUUGGGGAUGGACUCGCGGCUUAUCAGCUUGUUGGUGGGGUAGUGGCUUACCAAGGCUUUGACGGGUAGCCGGCCUGAGAGGGUGACCGGCCACAUUGGGACUGAGGUACGGCCCAGACUCCUACGGGAGGCAGCAGUGGGGAAUAUUGCACAAUGGGCGGGAGCCUGAUGCAGCAACGCCGCGUGCGGGAUGACGGCUUUCGGGUUGUAAACCGCUUUCGCCUGUGACGAAGCGUGAGUGACGGUAAUGGGUAAAGAAGCACCGGCUAACUACGUG
rnacentral:rRNA from 1 species